rnacentral:rRNA from 1 species
UGAGGAAUAUUGCGCAAUGGGGGCAACCCUGACGCAGCAACGCCGCGUGAGUGAGGAAGGUUUUCGGACCGUAAAGCUCUGUCGAGCGGGAAGAAAUGCAUGCUGGCUAAUAUCCAUCAUGCUUGACGGUACCGCUAGAGGAAGCACCGGCUAACUCCGUGCCAGCAGCCGCGGUAAUACGGGGGGUGCAAGCGUUGUUCGGAAUUAUUGGGCGUAAAGAGCGUGUAGGCGGUUGGACAAGUCAGAUGUGAAAGCCCUGGGCUUAACUCAGGAAGUGCAUUUGAAACUGUUCAGCUGGAGUAAGGGAGAGGAAAGUGGAAUUCCUGGUGUAGAGGUGAAAUUCGUAGAUAUCAGGAGGAACACCGGUGGCGAAGGCGACUUUCUGGCCCUAUACUGACGC